rnacentral:rRNA from 1 species
AGUGGCGAACGGGUGAGUAAUACAUAAGCAACCUGCCUUAAUGCCUGGGAUAACAGUUGGAAACGAUUGCUAAUACCGGAUAAUUUCUUGAUAGACAUCUAUUAAGAAUAAAAGUUGGGAUACAACACAUUGAGAUGGGCUUAUGGCGCAUUAGUUAGUUGGUGAGGUAACGGCUCACCAAGACGAUGAUGCGUAGCCGACCUGAGAGGGUGACCGGCCACACUGGGACUGAGACACGGCCCAGACUCC